rnacentral:rRNA from 1 species
CCUACGAGAGGCAGCAGUGAGGAAUAUUGGUCAAUGGGCGCGAGCCUGAACCAGCCAAGUAGCGUGAAGGCUGACUGCCCUACGGGUUGUAAACUUCUUUUAUAAAGGAAUAAAGUGAGGCACGUGUGCCUUUUUGUAUGUCCUUUAUGAAUAAGGAUCGGCUCACUCCGUUCCAGCCGCAGCGGUAAUACGGCGGAUCCGAGCGUUAUCCGGCUUUAUUGGGUUUAAAGGGAGCGUAGAUGGGUUGUUAAGUCAUUUGUGAAAGUGUGCGGCUCAACCGUAAAAUUGCAAUUGAUACUGGCAGUCUUGAGUACAGUUGAGGUAGGCGGAAUUCGUGGUGUAGCGGUGAAAUGCUUAGAUAUCACGAAGAACUCCGAUUGCGAAGGCAGCUUACUAAACUGCCACUGACAUUGAUGCUCGAAAGUGUGGGUAUCAAACAGGAUUAGAUACCCCGGUAGUC